GGGCCGGUAGCUCAAGCGGUAGAGCAUUGCCCUUUUAAGGCAAGGGUUCUGGGUUCGAGUCCCAGCCGGCUCA
rnacentral:tRNA from 2 species